CCAUUAAUGGCCAAACCUUGCGCUCCUCCACCUUCCGUUUGAGGAUGUCCCACAGAUGUUCAAUAGGGUUUAGGUUUUGAGACAUGCUUGGUCAGUCCAGCACCUUAACCCUCAGUUUCUUAAGCAAGGCAGUGGCCAUCUUGGAGGUGUG